UGUGUAGCUCAGAGGUAGAGCAUUUGUCUAUCAUGUACAAGGCCCUGGGUUUGAUCCCCAGAAUCACAA
rnacentral:tRNA from 1 species